UGUUUCACGAAGGCAGUGGAUCGGGUAUAAAUAGGCCCGCCCCGAGCUGAGCACGCCACUCUCAAAGAAAAAGUGUUGAAGUGAAGUCGCAGUGUAACAGAAUAAAAAACAAGUUUAAUUAGUACAAAGAAAUUUUCCACUCUUGCUGGUGUUAGCGAGCAGUGCCAUAAUUGGAUCCUGAAAUGGAAAAGUGUAAAAAUCGCGUCGCAGAAGCAGAGCUGCAGUACGAGUAUUGCAAAAUGACGCCAGGGCCCACGUAGUGUUUAGCCACGUCGGGCAUUAUUUGCCCUCAAGUUGGAAACAAAGAAACCCCAGAUCCACUGGAAAAGAUGCGAAUUAGUCAUCGAUUUUGCUGGUCAGCGUCGGGGAAUUUCGUAACGCGUCAGGCAGUUUUGGAGCUGCAGAGGCAGAGAUUCUAGAUUUUGGCUAGAAAGUGACCCACACUAGGCAGUCUGAGGCAGAUCCAGGAUAUGCGGGACAACUCUCUGAGUCGAUUGGCGACGGCCCUGACCUGCGGAUAUGAUAAAUUGGGAUAGGAAGCCAGUUGGGCGUUGAAAGUUGAUAUCGAUCCGUGAAAAGUCGAUCCCUGCGCGAGCAAGGGGCUAUAUGGGUGCUGAAAAUGCACUCGGCCCGAUUGCAGCGUUUUUUCCGAAAGCUGGGUCUGCGACCGUGACUGAGACUACAUAUAUGUAUACCAGUAUGUCUAGUGUUCGGGUCGCGGACCAGUCAGGGUGCUCGAUUCUGUCAGAUUGAUUGUGCGGAUUGUGUUAUAGGAACACUGGUGUAUCGACUUCUCUGCUCCACUAAGGGUGAACGGGAACCCAACCGAAAGGUUGCCACUGAGGAGUGGCUCGCUAUCAUCGAACAAAGUUCCGCAACGUGCAGACAUACAUACAUGCAAGUGAUCGGUUGAACUUGGCAUCAUAUUGAAUCUGUUCAAUGACACAUCGUCUCUGGAUUAGUAAUUGAACCAACGAGGUCGGAAACCCGCCAGUUGGUUGUUAAUAAUUAAUUUUGUUCUUUUAUUCAGUUGUAAAGUCAAUACGGAAUAUACUUCCACACCAACAAUGUCUCACUUAUGUUCUAAUAUACCAGAAUUUUUUUGUUUUUGUACACUUCACAAAUUAAGAAUUACCUGUACUUAUGUAAAUUACUUGUCAAAUGGAAAAAAAAGAAUACCAAAAGAGCUUCCUAAUGGAAAAGCCACAGAAAAAGUAAAUAAAAAAUUCAAAAAUUCCAAUAAUAAA